GGGGGACGGCGUGCCGGAGGAGCCCAGGGCAGAGCCGGCUCCCUCCGGCGCCGGGCGACUCCCAGACCGGGACUCCUCGUACGCCUUCCGAAGCAGCAGCAUCCCGAGCAGUAGCGUUCCCCCCACAG